GACGAACGCUGGCGGCGUGCUUAACACAUGCAAGUCGAGCGGAAAGGCCCUUCGGGGUACUCGAGCGGCGAACGGGUGAGUAACACGUGAGUAACCUGCCCCAGACUUUGGGAUAACCCUCGGAAACGGGGGCUAAUACCGGAUACGACACAGCUUCGCAUGGGGUCUGUGUGGAAAGUUUUUCGGUUUGGGAUGGGCUCGCGGCCUAUCAGCUUGUUGGUGGGGUGAUGGCCUACCAAGGCGACGACGGGUAGCCGGCCUGAGAGGGCGACCGGCCACACUGGGACUGAGACACGGCCCAGACUCCUACGGGAGGCAGCAGUGGGGAAUAUGGCACAAUGGGCGGAAGCCUGAUGCAGCGACGCCGCGUGAGGGAUGACGGCCUUCGGGUGGGAAACCUCUUUCAGCAGGGACGAAGCGUAAGUGACGGGACCUGCAGAAGAAGCGCCGGCCAACUACGU
rnacentral:rRNA from 1 species